AGCGAACGCUGGCGGCAUGCCUAACACAUGCAAGUCUGACGGGCGGGGCUUUCGGGCCUUGUCAGUGGCGGACGGGUGAGGAGCGCGUAGGAACGUAUCCAAGGGUGGGGGACAACCGCGGGAAACUGCGGCUAAUAUCGCAUGGGGCCUCUAGGGAGACCUGAAACGGGGAGACCGUGGGGGCCAAAGGCUGGGGCAACCUAGUCGCCGGUGGAGCGGCCUGCGUCCGAUUAGCUAGUUGGUGGGGUGAUGGCUUACCAAGGCAGCGAUCGGUAGCUGGUCUGAGAGGAUGAUCAGCCACACUGGGACUGGAGACACGGCCCAGACUCCUACGGGAGGCAGCAGUGGGAGUAUUGGACAAUGGGCGAAAGCCUGAUCCAGCAAUGCCGCGU
rnacentral:rRNA from 1 species